GAUGAACGCUGGCGGCGUGCCUUAAGCAUGCAAGUCGAACGGUAAGGCCCUUCGGGGUACACGAGUGGCGAACGGGUGAGUAACACGUGGGUGAUCUGCCCUGCACUUCGGGAUAAGCCUGGGAAACUGGGUCUAAUACCGGAUAGGACCCUGGGAUGCAUGUCCUGGGGUGGAAAGCUUUUGCGGUGUGGGAUGGGCCCGCGGCCUAUCAGCUUGUUGGUGGGGUGAUGGCCUACCAAGGCGACGACGGGUAGCCGGCCUGAGAGGGUGACCGGGCACACUGGGACUGAGAGACGGCCCAGACUCCUACGGGAGGCAGCAGUGGGGAAUAUUGCACAAUGGGCGCAAGCCUGAUUCAGCGACGCCGCGUGAGGGAUGACGGCCUUCGGGUUGUAAACCUCUUUCAGCACCGACGAAGCGCAAGUGACGGUAGGUGCAGAAGAAGGACCGGCCAACUACGUGCCAGCCGCCGCCGUAA
rnacentral:rRNA from 1 species